CUUGGCUUUUCGUCUUUUCACGUAUGAACGAGUUUUGCAAAGAUAUUUUUAUUGUGAUAAAAAUCAGCGUCUUAAGGUGUAGUGAGUGAUUGCCCCACAUUAUGUCUAAGCAGAGUGUACAAUGAGGAAAUAUUGUUCUUACCCAGGCUGCCGAACUGGGCGAGAUGCCAGCAGAGCAAACUGCAAGCGCUUAGGACGACGGCAACACAAUCAUAGCGUAAGAAGACGUAUCGCGAGUAUUCACGUACAGAUGGCCUCGCCGCACAAGCCAAUAUUUCCACCAGGCAGAACGAUCGCUCAGUAUUACGAGGAGCUCGAGGCUAAACAAAAGCGGCUCAAUAAGAUGGGCGAGUUUCUUGUCGAUCACCGGUGGUCGAAGUGAUGUUUUCGAGAGCAGCACGUCGCAGAUGUUCGAGAGCUCGACCAAUCGGAAUGUCGUCUCGAGCGGUAACCGAGUAUGUGGAAAUCGACUGAUCAUCUGUGCAUCCUGUGAUGCAACCAAUUGGUCCAGAUGAACCUUCGGGCACUUUUUGACUGUGUGGAUACGAAAACUCAUCUGCCUAGUAUAACUUACGACUCGGAACGGAAAAUUCGUGCCCUUGAUUGUUAUUUCCGAAGCGUAAGUUGAUAGUUGAGAAUUUUCAGAGAUUCUUGACAAUCUUGUUCAAUCGUAACGUGAUGUUACAAUGUUUUCAACGUAAAUUCGAAAAAAACGUCUUCCAUACGAGGACAAGACAAAAUUCGAGCCGGGAAGCGAAUGGAUCAAAGACAUCAUUAGACUAUACACUUGGAGUCUAAAAGCCGUUUUUCAAUUAGAACAUAUCACUGAUUGAAUUGGGUUUCAUAGAUUUUUUCAAAAAAUUGUCACUUGAGAACGGGAUGGAAAGAAAAAUGUAAAAAAAUAUGGUAGCCUUUACUAAUGUGAGUGAACGACAUACAAAAUUUCGGGUCGAAUCGAAAAGGGUGAGGGUCGGAGCCUGGUCGAAUUCGGGAUCGGAAGA